UACGUAGGGUGCGAGCGUUGCCCGGAUUUAUUGGGCGUAAAGGGCGCGUAGGCGGCCACGCACGUCCGUUGUGAAAUCGCCCGGCUCAACUGGGCGGGGUCAGCGGAUACGGUGUGGCUAGAGCAAGCUAGGGGGCAAUGGAAUUCCCGGUGUAGUGGUGAAAUGCGUAGAGAUGUGGAGGAACACCGAUGGCGAAGGCAGCCCCCUGGGCCGACACUGACGCUCAGGCACGAAAGCGUGGGGAGCAAACAGG
rnacentral:rRNA from 1 species